rnacentral:rRNA from 1 species
AUUGGAUGAGCCCGCGGCCUAUUAGCUUGUUGGUGGGGUAACGGCUCACCGAGGCUACGAUGGGUAGCCGGCCUGAGAGGGUGUACGGUCACACUGGCACUGAGACACGGGCCAGACUCCUACGGGAGGCAGCAGUGGGGAAUUUUGCGCAAUGGGGGAAACCCUGACGCAGCAACGCCGCGUGAGUGAUGAAGGCCUUCGGGUCGUAAAGCUCUUUUAGUGGGGAAGAAACUCCCCGGAACGAAUAAUUCCGGGGCUUGACGGUACCCACAGAAAAAGUUCCGGCUAACUACGUGCCAGCAGCCGCGGCCGAAU